UUCAUUCUGUAAAGAAACAAUAUACUGUAUAUAUAUAUAUAUAUAUGUAUAUAUACAGUACUUUGUCAUGUCUAAUAAUUUAAUUUUCAGCAAAAUUAAACAGUUCAUCUAAUAUAGUGUUGGUCGCGUGACGUGAAAAAUGACGUGACAUCUGCAGCCAAUUACCGUGAUGAAUCGUUCCUACUUCUAAGAGCAUGUCAUCGUUAAACUUAAACUUUGUAUGAAAACAAAACAGGAAGUAACUCGUUUAAUAAUUUUGUUGGAAAUGAAUAAAGAGAAUGAAUUUGUUACUUGCAGUACGAUAAAAAAACUAAAGUUUUAUGGAAGGCAGAAUUUAAAAGUUAAGAAAUUAUUAGAAAAACGUCUUAAGCUGAUGGAAAAAUGUCCUUUGCCAGACGAUUUUAAAUCAACGUAAGAAUUAUGAAUGUUUCUCUAAUUAUGUUAUAUUUAAUUCUAUACAUAAUAUGCUUUAUAGUUUACAAUAUGUAACCUAUUCGAUUUAAUAAUUUAUUCAAAAUUAAAAUAAUUUAUUAAUAACACAUCCUGCUAAACUCAAAAUAACUGAAAGAAAACGAAAAAUAAAUUUAUAUAUAAUUUGUUAUUUUUGUGAAUCAGAGAUACUAUAUUUUUAUUUUUGUUGUUCUCUAAUCAUAUACUAUUAGGAUUGAGUAUGGUGAUACCUCGGUUUUCGUCGAUGAUUCGUCUGAAAUCCGAAACUGAUGAAAACCGAGGCAAUUAUUUCCAUUAGAAUUAAUGUAAAUCCAAUUAAUUCAUUCUAGACAUUCCAAAAUACAUACCAAAAACACAUUUUAUAGAGAAUAAAUGUAGUGUUUAAUACUAAAAACAAUAUGAAAGCAGCCGAUUUUGGCAAUCUUAAUUUUGCUCUUGUAUUUUACAAUGAUUUUUUUCUUCAACUUUGAUUGUGUUCCUUGCUGUCUUCUUCAAAGGGUUGCUGGCUUUGGAAACUUUCUUUGGUCCUACGAUGGAGCAAAAAGGAAAGGAAAGCAAUGGAAUUGUUUGGCUAGAGGUGAGGGAGUAAUAAUGCUCAUACAAUGAGGAACAAUGCCACACUGAGCAGGAAAACACAUGGGUUUGUUUUCACCUUUUGUUUUCACAAAAUUAGAUCAAGUGGGCAUGCCGACAAAAUCCGAGGCAGCUGACAAAAACCAAGACAAAUUUUUCACAGAAAAAACCGACAAUAUGAUAACCGAGGUAUUACUGUAUUUCAUCCAGAAAUUCCAAUAUCUGAAGAUUAAUGAUGACAAAGUAAUUUUAUUUACAAUCCUAUGCAUUUUGUUAUUGCAUAAUAACAAAAUGCAUAGGAUUAGUG